rnacentral:rRNA from 1 species
AUGUGAAUUCAUAGCAUGUCAGAAGGCAGACCCGGAGAACUGAAACAUCUUAGUACCCGGAGGAAGAGAAAGAAAAAUCGAUUCCCUGAGUAGCGGCGAGCGAAACGGGAAAAGCCCAAACCAACAAGCUUGCUUGUUGGGGUUGUAGGACACUCUAUACGGAGUUACAAAAGAACAUGUUAGACGAAUCAUCUGGAAAGAUGAAUCAAAGAAGGUAAUAAUC